UACCAGCACCUCGAGUGGUCAGGAGGUUUAUUGGGCCUAAAGCAUCCGUAGCCGGCUAUGCAAGUCUUCGGUUAAAUCCAACUGCUCAACAGAUGGGCUGCCGAAGAUACUACACAGCUAGGGAGCGGGAGAGGCAGACGGUAUUCGGUGGGUAGGGGUAAAAUCCUCUGAUCCAUUGAGGACCACCAGUGGCGAAGGCGGUCUGCCAGAACGCGUUCGACGGUGAGGGAUGAAAGCUGGGGGAGCAAACCGGAUUAGAAA
rnacentral:rRNA from 1 species